AGCGCAGGCGGGAAGACAAGUUGGAAGUGAAAUCCAUGGGCUCAACCCAUGAAUUGCUUUCAAAACUGUUUUUCUUGAGUAGUGCAGAGGUAGGCGGAAUUCCCGGUGUAGCGGUGGAAUGCGUAGAUAUCGGGAGGAACACCAGUGGCGAAGGCGGCCUACUGGGCACCAACUGACGCUGAGGCUCGAAAGUGUGGGUAGCAAGCA
rnacentral:rRNA from 1 species